rnacentral:piRNA from 1 species
UAUGUAAGGGAUCGCCCAGAC